CUGGAAGACCCCUUGAGCGUUUUAAAAUCGUCUGCUGACCUCCGCCAGCACGUUCUCAAAGAUGCAAUGGAACCUUUCAAUGAGACACAAUUUUUUCCAGGAAUGUAUUUAUUUAAAAAACAAUCGUCUGUAGGUAAUCAAGAAAUUGCAGGAAUCAAAAUGUUGCCACCUUUAUGAACUCUAGAGGCAGUGUUUUAAAUAGCAUUUUAAUGUUCCAAAAAUUCAAUAAUACCACUCAGAAAUUAAAGAAUUAGAAUUUAAAGAUGAGAAAGCAUUAACCGUGUGAGUACAAAAGUAAUCUUGCCACUGUCCUCUUUGUGUGGAGUUUUCAUGCGUUCCCUGGUCUUGUGUAGUUUGUGCAAAAAAAAACAUGUGAAGUACCGGCUUUUGUAGCAAAAGGGGAAAAAUGACUUUAAAUAUGUUCAUAAUGUACUGAUGCAAAAUCAUAAUGACUAUUUUAGCAGCCAGGCUGUCAUCCCCUCACUCGCUAGUUUCACAAGAUGGUUUUCCCUCAACUUGUUUGAACUUUGUGGUGUUAAAUCCUUAGUGCCCACUUUACAGUGUUGGAAUUUGAGGCGCUUGUAGGGCUCUUUUAGUCCACAGAUCUGUUUAUGCUCUAAUACAAGAACAGCAAAUCUCCUCGAUGACCUUUUAUGGAGGCGGGUUGGCGCUAACGUCUGAAAGUGUCUACAAGUUCAGGAUCUUGCGUUGCCCCAGGUUGUUAGAGAUUAUGCGUCAUCGCAGGUCCGGUCUUGUCUUGGCUUGAUGCAUCCUGCAGCCAUCUGGAAGGUGGGUUGUUUACCUGCGACCACACCUCUCUCUGAGCUGGAGAAGGGAGCGGACAGUAAUUGUCAAAAUAAAUUGAGCAACUUUGCAAACGUGUUUGCACUGGGUGCUCCUUUUUCCAUCCUUGUCAGGGUUUCUUGAAAGUCUGUCUUGAUCAUGCUUUCAUGGGUUUAAUGCUAGCGCUGUUUUGUAUUCAUACUCAGAGUGAACUGCACAAGGACUGUUAAAUUUUCAAUCGAGGAGGGUUCCCUCAGAUGCCCUUUAACACUUAAGGACUUCCAUGACACACCCUGACGCUCUUAUCGGAGUUUGUUGCAACCACCAGCAACAGCCUUCCUCUCACCUCCGCUUGAAAAACACUUCACUGGGGAGAGACUUGUGAUAGGACCACGUUCAAAGGCCGUCUCCUCCCCCUCAAUUGUGAAAAUACCUUGUAGUUGCUUCAAGCAUGUUGGAAUGAAAUUUGCGGUUGUAUUGUUCGAGUCAGCUUACUACUUCUCUUUUUACGUUCUUCUUUUCUUCUCAGUCCUUGUUGAGACAGGUUGGGAAAAUGUGUCGAGUUAAUCUGGAUGCUCGCUGAAGAGAGCUCUCCAACACAUUUGUUCAGUUUGAAUGAAAAAUUGCAGGUGUGUCGCCGCUGCUGGAGAAACUUGCAUGUGGCCAACCCGCUUAAUCAUUUGGCAAGCCUUGCCUUGUUAUGAGGAAGUCUUGUCUGGUUGUCACUUGUCGUGUGAAGCUCAAUAAAAAAAUAUUUUUUGGUAACCUCUAUGUACCAAUGCAGAAUCUGCACUUGGUGAUAAUUGAUCAUCAACCCAAAACUUUGCAUUCUGCUGUAGCUAAUUUAGCUCAGGAAUUCCCAGUGUAUUCUAUUGACAACUUUAUCAUUAACCAAACUUGUUUUCCCCCCCCCCCCCCCCCCCCCCCGAAAUGUUACUCUCUUCAUUUGUUAGCAGAUAUUUGGCCUGGCCACGUGGCCCCGCAUUUUCUACGCUGAGAAACGGGUCCAAACAUGCACCUGCGACAUUCGCCGUCUGAUUAUCAGUCAUAUGUCGCCCGUGGCCACGUGAGACUUCGGCCUGUCAGCCAAUUUCACUCGACCUAAUUUAUGUUGUCGCCUAUGGCAGCUGUUGGGAUUCAGAGGGUAGAAUAUUCCUUUCAGUUCCCCAGGCCAGGGGAACUUGAGAAACAACUUUUCUCAUCUUAAGACCCAAAUUGUAAGCUUAGAAACAUAAGCUAGGUCAAAAUCCAAUAAAUCCUUAAAU